GCUUCAACAGUGCAUCUUCUGAAAUUGGAACGAUACAGAAAAGAUUAGCAUGAUGCUUGCGCAAGAAUGACAUACAAAUUCAUGAAGUAUUCCAUGUUUUU
rnacentral:snRNA from 1 species